rnacentral:ncRNA from 2 species
UCCCUGAGACCUUAACUUGUGA